rnacentral:rRNA from 1 species
CACGUAGGGAGCAAGCGUUGUCCGGAUUCAUUGGGCGUAAAGAGCUCGUAGGCGGCUCGGUAAGUCGGGUGUGAAACCUCUGGGCUCAACCCAGAGACGCCACCCGAUACUGCCAUGGCUAGAGUCCAGCAGGGGAGCGUGGAAUUCCCGGUGUAGCGGUGAAAUGCGCAGAUAUCGGGAGGAACACCAGCGGCGAAGGCGGCGCUCUGGGCUGGAACUGACGCUGAGGAGCGAAAGCGUGGGUAGCGAACAGG